AAAAAUUGGUCUAUUUAAAAGUAAAACAAUAUUUUAAAAUAAUUUUUGUUUGCAAUGCAAAAAUCAAUAUAAAUCUUGUGACGCGCGGUGUUCAACUUUAGUCAGCGCCAAGCGCUUACCGAGGAAGGACGUAUCGCUCGCUGUUGCGCCGCGUAAACUCGCCGGAGGUCGAAAAAUAUAGCGCAACCUGCGCAACUAACACGUUUUGAUACUAGAUAAUGAAAGCAUAUUUAAUUCAGACUAUCAGACUCAAUUGAAUACCAGUACAAAUAAUAUGAUCAACUUACGGCGCAGCCUGAGGGGGCGAAGUCUUCUGUCUGGGAGGAGAUCUGACGAGUGUGGGCGGCUU